AGGUAUAGGACGAGCACCUUAGUUUGGUGGAGGAAACGUGUAGAAAUGGAAUGAGGAGGCGAAGGGGAAGAGUUCGGCAUGUUACAAACAAGAGAUAGAGAUCAACAUCAAAAGCUUUCCAGGAUACUUAUUGACCAUUGACAGGAACGUAUAUACAAACUGUGGAUUCGAAAGAACCAACACCAACCAUGCCAGAUUUGAUCUUCAGCAGCAAGGUGUUCAGACUAGAAAGCAACUACCCAACCCUUCACUUCCAAUCAAGCAUGUCUAGCAGCUCGAGGACCUCUUCCUCUGAGUUGGCAGCAUCGCAGAAAUCCAACUCAAUGCCAAAAACAUCGAUGAUCCCUUCAUUAUUGCCAUUAUCAAUAUGCUCGAAUCUCAUAAACAAAAGGGUAGCUAGGUGAAACAUCAAGAUUGGACAGCUAUUAUAUUUCUGUUCAAACAUGGAGUUUCAAAUACUAUGCAUUUUUAGAGCUGCACACCCACCACAGGCUAGCCAACAUCGUGAUACUUGGGAGUGCAUUUCAUGAGAAAGAAUCACCUAGAUUUAGGUUUG